CUGGAAUGAUCUUCAAGACAUGUAACAGCCUAACAACCGCUAUUUUAUGGGCAUCAGCCAAUCAAAAAAGAUGCCAGCUAUAAACAAAUGGAUGGCCCUCCUGGUAAAUGCAGUCCAGAAGGAAGUAAACCAGCAUUACAUGCCCCUCCCCUGAGUUGGGUAAUAGCCACCUCAAUGUACAUCUUCUUUUAUGAGGAAAAGAUCACUGACGAUCUUCUCAUGCUAAGGUGGUUGAGACAAGGUGAUUCAUCGUCUGUUAGUUAGCUAGAUGCCAAGUUUUCACCAAAAGACCUUCAGUUGGUGGAUGACCUAGAUGGAGUACUAAUCCUCCUCAAUAGAGAAGGAUCAGCAGUGGGAGAAUUCUUAUGUAAAAGAAAUGAUGAAAGGUCAUCCUUCUGUGAGUUG
rnacentral:lncRNA from 1 species